UGAUGAUCAUGAUGAUGAUCACGAUGAUGAUCACGAUGAUGAUCAUGAUGAUGAUCAUGAUGAUGAUCAUGAUCAUGAUCAUGAUGAUCAUGAUCA